CCAAUAGCGUGUAUUAAAGUUGUUGCAGUUAAAAAGCUCGUAGUUGAAUUGCGGGGUUAGUAGGUUGGUCAUGCCUCUGGUAUGUACUGGUCUCACUGAUUCCUCCUUCCUGAUGAACCGUAAUGCCAUUAAUUUGGUGUUGCGGGGAAUUUGGCCUGUUACUUUGAAAAAAUUAGAGUGUUUAAAGCAAGCUAACGCUUGAAUACAUUAGCAUGGAAUAAUGAAAUAGGACGUUCGAUCCUAUUUUGUUGGUUUCUAGGAUUGACGUAAUGAUUAAUAGGGAUAGUUGGGGGCAUUAGUAUUCAAUUGUCAGAGGUGAAAUUCUUGGAUUUAUUGAAGACUAACUACUGCGAAAGCAUUUGCCAAGGAUGUUUUCAUUAAUCAAGAACGAAAGUUAGGGGAUCGAAGACGAUCAGAUACCGUCGUAGUCUUAACCAUAAACUAUGCCGACUAGGGAUCGGAUGAUGUUAAUUUUUUAAUGACUCAUUCGGCGCCUUACG
rnacentral:rRNA from 1 species